rnacentral:rRNA from 1 species
GACGAACGCUGGCGGCGUGCUUAACACAUGCAAGUCGAACGGAAAGGCCUCAGCUUGCUGGGGUACUCGAGUGGCGAACGGGUGAGUAACACGUGGGUGAUCUGCCUUGCACUCUGGGAUAAGCUUGGGAAACUGGGUCUAAUACCGGAUAUGAACUGCCUUUAGUGUGGGGGUUGGAAAGUUUUUUCGGUGCAAGAUGAGCUCGCGGCCUAUCAGCUUGUUGGUGGGGUAAUGGCCUACCAAGGCGUCGCCGGGUAGCCGGCCUGAGAGGGUGUACGGCCACAUUGGGACUGAGAUACGGCCCAGACUCCUACGGGAGGCAGCAGUGGGGAAUAUUGCACAAUGGGCGGAAGCCUGAUGCAGCGACGCCGCGUGGGGGAUGACGGCCUUCGGGUUGUAAACUCCUUUCGACAGGGACGAAGCUUUUUGUGACGGUACCUGUAUAAGAAGCACCGGCUAACUACGUG